AGGGGCUGGCGGUUGCGGCGG
rnacentral:misc_RNA from 1 species